AUAAAUUUACUUUUUUGACUAUUCCAACACCACCCGCCAGCGAACACCAAUAGACAAUGAUUACAACAACAAAAAAAACGUUAACAGCAAAACAGUAAAUAAAAUAAAAACUGACACGAAAAUGGCAAAAAAAAAACACACACACAUAAAACACAAAAAAAAAUGAUACACUAAUGGGUUACAUUAUUAGUUUAUGAAAGGCAAACAGAUAAAACUAUUUAUGUGCGUCUUGUCAUUCCAUUAAAGUGUGACUAUGCAUGUUUGACACAUGACAUAUCUGAUCUGACAUUACUUAGUUUGACAUUCUAAAAGGAUUUGAGAUUUAACAAAAUAGGAACGAAUAAUAUUUAUUUUCUAGAGGGUAAACUAAGAUUAGAAUAAAAUAAGUGAACUUAAACAACAAGAGAUACACGAAGUAACAUUACACUAACUAAAAUAACAAAAUAAUACAAAGGAAAGUAGAUCUAAAUAUCCACUGUGAAGAAAAGUGAGGAAAACAUCAAUCAGUCGAGGAUGCAUUAGACUUCACCGGGUACUUCUCCAGAAGCGGUAUCAGUUCUUCCAAUGAAGAAAUCCUAUGCCGGGUCCCAUCUGAAGUCCUGACGACAAUCACACCGUCCUGCGACCAACAUGAUCGCAUACCGAAGUGCUGCCUGGCCUUGGUGAAGAUGGACUGCCUGGUCUUAGUCAAGAACUCCUUCACUGAGAUUUUGGUCCCCUUCAAGCCAGUCUUCGCCUUCCAUAUUGCUGUCUUGACAUCUAAUCCAGAAAACCUCACAAGGAUUGGCCUUGGAUGAUCCUUACCGGGACUGCCGAGCCGAUGUGCCAAUUUUAUACUUGGAACUGCAAUGUCUUUGAGACCCAAUUUACCAUUGAGUAUGCUCAAUAUUGUGGCAGUACAGUCCUCAGUGUCUGCUUCAGGAACUCCUUGGAAAAUUAGAGCCUUCCUUCGGUGCCUCAUCUCCAGGCCAUCAAUAUGCAGAAGACACUCGGCAAUUUGUUUCCUGAGCAAUCCAAGGACACUGUAGAUGAGCUCUCUAAAUGCCCGGAACUCCUCAGCAAUCUUAGCCACAGUAUCUUUAGCGGGUCCUGCAGCCUGAAUUUGUGCACCAAGUUCAUCCAUCUUCCGGGUGAAGUUCUCCUCAAGACUCCUUUGAACAGAUAAUAUCUCCGAAAGCUGUGACAUUCUUGAUCACUUCAAUUACUGUGGUUUGUGAUUGUGAAAUAAUUUAGUGCUCUUGAUUAAUUGUUGUUUGGUGAUGUGGCAGGUGGUGAAUAAAUGUGUGCUCAAUUAUUACAUUUA
rnacentral:lncRNA from 1 species